rnacentral:lncRNA from 13 species
GUUCGUCCUGAAGAGGAAAGGAGAGGUGGAGAGAAAGGGAGGGCACAGGCAGCAAGUUUAGCUGGAGCUACCAGAAGUGCUACCUACACAAAAAACUGCUUUCACUUGCCACCAAUCCCCAGGCAAUACACAGGAUACAAAGCAGGCAGCACGUGAGUGAAGUGAGAGGGAGUGGAAGAGAACAAUGAUGGGAAUGGAAGAAUG